UGAAGAGUGGCUCAGUGAUAGAGUACCUGGCAUUCCUGAGGUCCUGGGUUUGAUUCCCAGCACUGCAA
rnacentral:tRNA from 1 species